CAUCAGAUGUGCCCAGAUGGGAUUAGCUAGUAGGUGGGGUAAUGGCUCACCUAGGCGACGAUCCCUAGCUGGUCUGAGAGGAUGACCAGCCACACUGGAACUGAGACACGGUCCAGACUCCUACGGGAGGCAGCAGUGGGGAAUAUUGCACAAUGGGCGCAAGCCUGAUGCAGCCAUGCCGCGUGUAUGAAGAAGGCCUUCGGGUUGUAAAGUACUUUCAGCGGGGAGAAAGGUGUUGUGGUUAAUAACCGCAGC
rnacentral:rRNA from 1 species